rnacentral:lncRNA from 1 species
GGGAGGCGAGCCGACCGCUGGGGCUGCUCGGCUCCUGCGCGCCCUCGCGCUCUCCGCCGCCUGCCGAGGCGCUGGCAGGGCGCAGGCGGCGGCGGGCGGCAUGGAGAGCCUCCUGGAGAAUCCGGUGCGCGCUGUGCUCUACCUCAAGGAGCUCACUGCCAUCGUGCAGAACCAGCAGAGUCUCAUCCACACCCAGCGCCAGCGCAUCGACGAGCUGGAGCGGCGUCUGGACGAGCUAAGCGCCGAGAACCGCAGCCUGUGGGAGCACCAGCAGCUGCUGCAAGCGCAGCCUCCGCCUGGGCUCGUCCCCCCAUCGUCAGCCCCGUUGCCGGCUCCCCCGGCCACCGCUCCCGCCGCGGCCCAGGAACCGCUCCAGAACCACGGACAGCUCCAAUCCGCCACACCACAGUCCGCGCCCGAGCAGCCACAGCUUCAGCACCACGGACAGCUUCUGGUGCAGCCUCAGGCGGGCCCCAGCAGUAGGGCUCACUCACCCCAAUCACCCCACCAGCACCCGGUGACACUUGGGGCCGUCGCUGACAAGGAGAAGGAGCGUCCCCCGAGUUGUUGCGCUGCCGCCGGAGCCCUCCUUCAGCACAAAUCCCCCGCCGCCCUCGGCAAGGGCGUCCUGAGCAGGAGACCCGAGUGAGUGGGGAAGAGAUGGGGACUGUUGGGAGGAGAAGCAAGUGGGUGUGAGGAGACAGGGGGGAAAUCGGAUGCACGCAAGAGUCUGAAGGACUAGGGUAAUGUGAACUGAAGGAAUGAGAAGCUGCCUUGGGGUAGAAGCGUGUCAAGGAGAUUUGGGGGAAAGAAGGAAGGGAUAUCAGUGUUUGAGGUUUUAUGGAUAUUGGAGCAAAAGGGUUAUUCAGACUAUCUUGGGGGCAAAGAAGCAAAGAAAUGGAUUUUAAGUGAUUGGGCUGUUGGGAACUGGAGGGCUUAAAAGGGACAAAAGUGGGAGGAGGUUGUGGUGAAGAUUAAACUGAAGAAAAGAGAACCAUCGAAGGAUUUAAGUUAGAAAAAAAAAAAUUUGAGAGUUCGGGUACAAAAAUUAUUUAAACAAAGUGAAAUAUUUUUAAAAAAACCACAAAGGUUUGACCGAGAGGCUUCUUAAGAGCUUUAAAAGGAAUGGGGUCCAGAUGGAGUAGCAUUGGAAUAGAGAGGAAUUCAGGAGGUAGAGGUAAAGCUGAAAGGCAGGAGUGAUGUGAAAAGAGAGGGGAUCUGAAGACAGGGGGAGAUAAAGGGUAGGCGAAAGCAUUUCCCAGAGGAGCUAGAUGGCUCUUUAACUGAUGCAGUGGGAGUCAAAGCCAGGAGUGGCUCAUUUAGGGAAGCUUACUCCGCUCUCAUCUGAGUGGCCACCUUUCUUCCAAAUCCCUGCAGAGCCAAAAGAGUGCAAGGAAACAACUCACCAAGCCAAUGAAGGACUCUUGAUAUAGCUUGGGGAUUCAGUCUCGUUACAAAAUUUUCCUCUGAUUCAAGGAGGAUAUCUGUGCAGAGUGGUCGGCAGUUGUGGAAAGGGAACAAUGAUGAGGGAGACAGCUGGAAAACAGUAGUUAUGUUAAUGCGGCCUCUUUAAAUCUGUUAUGUCUAAUGAUUUCAAACCUUAUUUCCCCUUGGUUAUUUGCUGAUAACUGGAAUCUCACAUUGGGUACCAAGAGAAUGGUACCAUCGCCAGUGGGGUUCUAGAACCUCAAGCUUUUUUCACUCAUGAGAUCCAUGAACUAGGAAUGUGGGAAGAAAAGAUGAAGGGGAGCUAAAAUAUCUUCUCCUCUGUAUCAGGAAGUCUGUGAUCACAUCAGCUUUCCCUCUCUGAUUAAACAGGUGAUGAAAGAACUGCAUGGAAGAACAGCCCUGGGGAAAUCAGUACCUGGUCAGCACCUGGCCCUGAUGAUGAUGAUACUAAUUGGGAGUGGGGGAAGGUGGAAGGAGGCCUAGGAAUCUUACCCUCAUUCAGUCUCAAGUGUGCUUUAUUUCUGGAGGAUACUUGUGAAAAUUCACUGUAUUCCUUAAAAACUCAUUUUCUUCCCAGCAUUCUUCCAACACAAAACCCCCUCAUUUUGUUGGCCCAACUGCUGCAAAGUUAGAGGAGGUGGGUCAGGACAUGUUAGUUCAGAAGAUACAUUUGAUCAGAAUCAUGGGAUCUAAGGAGUAAAGAUCUAGAAUGAUUCGGCUUGACAGAUCUGAAGUAUUUGAUUCAAGCCCCAAGAAAAUAACAACUUUCUUCUUCAACUCACUCAAUGGCCCACUUAUCCUCUCAGUUUCAUGGUUUUUCUUUCUUUAUCUGACAUAAAAAGCAGAAAGUCAGUUUUUCCUCAAUUCCCAUGGCUCAGCAAAAGGCAAAAUUUUCCCAAGGUAUUAUGCGGCCUUUCCCCCAAAUAUAGGAAAAUGAACUAUUCCACUCCAUCUCCUUGGAGGCAGCCACAGCUUCCUGAUAAUUAAUUCUUCACCUGAUUCAUCUCUUCAUGACAUUUGGGGUCUCCCUUCUCUCCCACUGCACCCCCACUUUCUUUGCAUCUCUUCAGGGGACUAUGUGAGCAAGAAGGGUUGAUGACAUAUCUUUUUCUUGCAUAAAGACUUUUUCUGAGGCUCCCACAGUGGUCUAGAGAGCUCACACCUUAUGUCCAGAUGCUCCUUCUUGGAAGCCAGGGACUUAGAAUUUACCUGGCUUCCUAUCCAGCCUCACAUGUCAAUACCAUGUGAUGUCCUUAUCUUUCCUUCUCCCCUGCCCUGCUUUUGCUUCUCAAGAGAGCGGAACAAAAAUAAGAAAUAAUUAGCAUGAUGGAGGAGAGUAGAAGUUAUUGAAAAUCUUUCAUUUAGAAGUUGUGCCAGACACUAAGAGGUUAAUAACACCAAUAGCUCUUUACUUUCUCCAGAGCUUCAAGCUCUGCCUCUUGUCCCCAGGCCUCAGUACCCAGAGACUUAGAGAACAGGGAUAUGCCUGCAUUACCUCCUCCCUGCAACUCUCUUCCCCUAGAUGUGAAACCAUUCACAUCUUGGCUGGUGGGAUGACUUUUGGACCACCUGUUUCUUUUCCCACUGUUUUGCUUGAUGUCAACCCAAAUUUCCCUUAGAACCUUGGGAAGGAAUCACCCUUGCUAACUAUGUGUUUGGUCCCCAUUCUGGAUGUUUGACCUCCUCACACCCCUCUCUAGAGUGCAGGGCUAGAUGGACCAGCGGGCAGGGAGAGAUCUCCAUGGAUAGGUUGAGGUAGGGAGAAGAGCAGAACCAAAAGCCCUCUGGCUGGUAUUUCUCCAGGGAGCUCCCUGAUGAAUCAGUUCCCUAUAAGCAUGCUGAAGCAGGAAGAAGAGAUCACAGAGAGGACUCUGGAUCAUAAUUUCGCUGUAAAUAUUUUCUCAUUCCUCUAUGCCUCAUUAUAUAGCAAGAAUGUGUCCUGAGCAUGGAGACUGAAGAGAGGGUGGUUUCUGUGUUAGAUGCAUUAUUUCAGCACAGAGUUUGAAGUUAUCCCCUUAACUCCCUUUCCUGCUCAAUUCCAGGAGAGGCAGAAACCCUGGAAAACCUGUGACUACAAAAUAAUGAAUCAUUUAAUUGCCACCUGGUCUACAUUAACAUGUGACCUGCCUUCUCUCCCUCCUUCAACUGAGGGACACACAAAGGGGGUGGCAUUGGAGGUCAGACUAAGGAAGAAAUUAUGUGGAGGUGUGUGAGCCUAGAAAUAUUAUGAAAGAAAAAUCCUCAAGGGGUUAAAAUUCUUUCUCUGCAUGCUUCUCAACUCUUGCUAAGCUCUGGCCCCCACUGCUUAUGCUUCUUAAUGAAAGCAGCAAACAUAGCUUUCUCCUCUUUAUUUUUUCAAUCAAGGCUCACAGCAUUUACGGAACUGACUAUUAUCCCUUUCCUGGUUGGAGCCAGGCCUCAGCCUGACCUGGCAAAGUCCCCCUGCCAUGGAAGCACAUGACCCUAUCUAAAGCUGCUGGCUUCAGUGUGACCACAGCUUCUCUGUUUAAGCACAAUUGCCUACCUACUCGAUCAUGCAUUUAGAGUAUGGAUACCAGCACUUGCCUGUGUCUCCACACCCAUAGGCAGGUGAUUACUGGAAGUUAGAUAAGAUUCUUAUAUUAUACUUCAAAUUCAGCUUUUACUCCAAGCUCCCUAUCUCAAUGUGGCUGCAAAGUCUGAAUGGCUUAGCUUAAUAAUUCCUGCCUUCUUUCUUCCUCCUUUGUCUUCCUUUUAUAUCCUUCCUCUUACUUUUCUUUUUUCCCUCUCUUCUGUUUUUCCUCCUUAUUCUUUUCCCCUUUCUUCUCUUUCCCUUGAAUUCUUUCUCUCUCCUUUGCUUCCUUCUAUCCUUCACUUUCACUUAAGCUACACAGGUUCGUCUCUUUCCUCUCUGCACUUAUCCUUUAAUCAUGAAAUAAAUCCAUUUUUUUCUGAUGCUGGGAAUGCCACCUGGGGCCUUGCACAAGCUAGGCAAGUGCUCUAUCACUGAGAUACACCCCCAUCCCUGCAUGAAAUAAAUCUUGAGUCAUCUUUGGAGCUCCUUGGUCUAAUGCUGGCUGGAGGCUGGGGAUGGCUAAAAGAGCUCUUGCUUUUAGCUGGAUGUAGUUUUUAGCCUGAGUUUUCUAAGACAUGAACAGCAGGUGUUUCUGUUGUUAUUGAGUGAGGUCUGCUUGAAGAUGGCAGUUCCUGUCUGCUUGAUGAUGGCAGUUCCUGUCUGGUCCAUUCUGGAAGCUAUUAAGAAAGUGUGAAGGUCUAUCAGUCAGCCAACUAAAUGUAUCAUGUAUCCAGUCCAUUCAAAACCCUUCACUCUGUGCUGUAGAAAAAUAGGAAAGAAGCAGGUGGUCCUUGCUCAACCCACAUGAGACACAUAUCUGGAAACAUUUAAACAAGUGUAAGCAUAUUGGGGUGAUCUAAAGCUACCUUCUAUCAGAACAGCACAGGAUAAGAAAGAUGUGUAUACAUAUUAGGUUCAGAGCCAGAGAAUUCUUGGUUGGAUUUAAGAAAGGGUUCAUGUCAGGAAAUAGUAAAAGUCAAGGAUAACCAGAAAGGAAACAACCAAGAUGAUUCAAAUCCUAGAGAUGUCUGCAUUGCACGUGGAUAUCAUUCCAUCCUCUGAUGGUACAGUCCCCCACCUCUUGUACCCUCCUGACCUGGGAAGCCUCAGCACACAGGGAAUCUAUCUUGUGUCUAGAAGGCCUGAGGAAGCAUUAUACAGCCAAGCCUCACCAAUCUGCUUAUCCUUUUUUUGUCUUCUCCUACCCUCACAAGGGAGAGGACUCCUAUUCAAUAAGUUGGAAAAUGGGGCCAGAAUGAAGGCUCAUUGAGAAGAGGGAGUAGGUGUCUUUUUGCUCAUUCCUGGAAGCUGGUGUAGAAUGAAUGGGCUGUCCCUACCUUUCCAAGGUCCUGGAAUGUUGUUCUUACCUUCCCUUCAUCCAAAAAGAACACAAUUUUAGAAAAACAGGUCAUUUCUUUGCCCCUGGGAAAGCCCUGUGCCUUGCUCCACCGCAUCUUUCUCCUUCCACACUCUCAGGCCCUUCCCAGACUCACACAGCCAACACCACAGGGCCUUACGAAGACAUCCUGGCACAUUUUCCCCUUGGCCCAAAAUCAAGAGAGAGGAAUAGCAAUUGGUCCUGCUGAUUCAGCAAAUAUCUAUCUGUGCAGCCUGAGUUUCAAAGGUCACUUAUGCAAAAAGAAAAAAAAAAAAAAGGUGGAGGUGAGGUAUGUCCUAUGGUUUAAUAGCUGUCUUUAAAAGUAGCACUAAUAUAAAAUAGGAAAGUUCUAGUAUUAAAACAACUUUAACACAUUAAAAAAAAGAAAGAAAAAAGAAAAAAAGGUGGGGGGCAGAUGGGGUCAGGCCUGGGUGGAAAAGGAAAGAAAAUGAGGGUGAUAUGAAAAAGGAGGAGCAAGCUGAGCCAAACAGCUGAGCCAGGGUCUGGCAAGAGGCUCAACUCUUGAAUUUAAAUCCCAUGUAAAGAUUUUUAGACUUCUUCUUAUUGGGGAGCCCAAACAUUUUUUUCCCACUGGGGUUCAAACAUAUUCUUGGCAGCUCUGGACACAGGGUAACAGCAGUUUAGUUAGGGGACACUUUCAUUUUGCAGCUGGCAGAUUCCCAAAUGUGAGGCCAUCUGGCAGAAUUUCCAAGGUUUGGGCCAUUGCAGCAACUUCUUCCUCUGCUUCUGGAAAAGCACGAUGCACAGGUUCCCACAGAAGUGGCAAAGGGUUUCUUGUUUCCAUAGAGCAAAAGGAUGGUCAUCUUCAUUCCAAGUGAUGAGGGCAUUAACCAAAAGAAAGGGAAUCAGGAGUAAGGUGAGGAAGAAGCUGGACUUUUUGACUGAAAGGAGAUUCUGGAAAUCAUAGAGUCACAGAAUGUUCAAGAUCUAGAUAGUCAGAACAUGAGCUUUGGGAAAGACACACCUGGGGAAGAAUCCUGUUUCACCAUCUACCAGCUGUGAGUCUUUACAUUCAUUAUUGCCUUCCUUUAAGCCUGUUUUUUAAUAUAUAAAAUGAAAGAUAAUAUCUACUUUAAAGGAUUGUUUUAAAGUUCAAAAAUUAGAUAUUAUCACUUUUUAGCACUGUUCUGAGCACAUAGUAAGUGCUCAAUACAUGCCAGUAUUUUGGCAUAAAGAAAGCAGGACCCAGAAAAGACAGGAGGCUCAUCUGGUGGCAGACAGCAGCACUAGAGUAGAAUCCACAUUCAAGAUUCUUUCUAUUCUGCCGGGCCACCUUUUCACAUGUGCCUCUUUCUCAUUUAUUCUGCCUCUGCACAAUGGGCACCAAAACUUAUUCAGAGGCAUGAAUGCUGAGCUUAGCUUGAAAAGCAGCCAGGCAGGACAAAUCCACCACCCCUUAGUGAUCCAUACUGAGGUCUCACAUCUUCAUAGCUGGGAAAGGCAUCUUUUAAGCUUAACUGAAAUAUUUUGUGUUGCAUUUUAAGGUUAUUUGUUUUUCCCUUAAAAACACCAAACAGAUCUGAGUUAGUACUAAUGCCAUAUGGUGAUAUGAGGGACCGCUACCCUGUUUCCCACUGACCUGUCAAGGACAAAAGUGAUGAGUGAAGGGAAUGAACCCAGAAAGCAUCUCCCACUUCCACAGAAAGAAAGCUGAAUCCAUUUCUCCAAAUUGUUUCCUUCUAAGGGAUUAAAGGUAAAGCUGCUUUUUUGCAGCGUUCUGAGGUCAGAAAGCAGAGGAAAGCAGGGAGGGACAGAGAAAAGAAGCCUGAUGUGUUGUUGUGAGUGCCCUGGAUGGUAAUGAGGGGGCUAAGGAUCCUACUUUGUUUGGUCAGGCCUAAAGGGUAAGAGUCUUCUCUUAAAGACUUUCUUCAACGAGAUAUAUUCUAGGGGGAAAAGAUAAGGCAGGCUUCAAAAAUUCUACCCAUGGUGGUCAUGGCUAAAGACCACUAUGCAAAAACUAUUAGAGUGUGUGAGUGUGUGUGUGUGUGUAUGUGUGUGUGUGUGUUGAGGCCUGGGUAAGAUGGAGGAUGGGCUGUUUUGCUGUUGCUCUUUGCUUGCAACAUCUAAUCUGGAGGGUUAUGUAACCGAUGAUGUGCUGAGUGGUACCUAUCCUCCCCCACGGGCCGGCUGCUGUGGACAGAGGGCAUGAUGCAGCCUGUCCAAGUCCCUGCCUAGAGAAGGUCCUAGCCUCUGGCUUCAGAACAUUCCAUCUAGGCCCAGAUACAGAGACUGAGGACUUUAGAGGCUGUAUCAGAGUCCCCCAACCCCUUUGGGGAGUCAAGCAAAUGUCAGACCUGGAUGGAACCUGGUCCAAACUUCUCAUUCAGCAAAUGGAAAAAAAAAAGGUCCUGAAAGGGCAGUGACUGGUGCUUCUAAACUAGUUAGUGUCAGGACUUAGGUUUAGAACUCAGAAUAUCUUUCUUUUAAAACUUAUCUAGUUCUCUUGGUCUUACAUAGAGAUGAACCAGAAGAGCUAGUCAGGGCUCUUCCAUGGGUGUGCUGGACCAAAAUUACAGCUAGUAAUUGGGGCUUAGGGGACCCAAGGAGGUCCCUCAGCCUGCUAGAAUUUCUCACCUAUGCUGCCAAUUCCACAGUCAGAGAUUGCUUUGAGUGCUUCAAGGUUAUCUUCUUGAAUAAAACACAAAUUCUCCUAGGACAGGAGAAAAACAAAACAUUUAGCCCUAUCAGUCUUUCAUACUUCAGCAUGAAAGCAUGUAUCUGGGCAUUUCCCAGGGCAAGGCUUGGUGAGAGACGAUACACAGCAGCACUAGUUGACUAUAGGCCAGGCCAGGAGGCUCAUAAGGAGCUGAAGGGUUCAUGAGGGAGGCUGUUGAGUGUCUAAAUGUAUUUUUAUUUUCACUAAAUUUUGCAAAGAGUUGGAAUUGUCUUGCUUGACCUUGGCAAAGAAGGGAAAGGGACACAGGGCAUCCCACACCGGCUGGUUGUAGAAAAGUUAUUUGGGCUAUAGAAGGGAUACUUUUCCAGUGAGCUUCAUUCAUGUGUAAAGUCACAAGAAAACAAGUACAUAAAGGGGCAUUGGGGAGCUUGUUUGCUUCUUUCUAGGAUCUUAACAUAAUGUUUUUGAUAGUAAAAUGUCCCAGGACUCUUGGGGUUUGCUGAGAUAGGAAGUGUGAGUUGGUAGGGGUUGGUGUCCGUGAGCCUGAAGAGAAUGGGAGAUGAGAGCCAAACUCAAGACCUAGGUGCUUAAUAAAUACUAACUGAAUAAAUAAAUUCAUAGUUGUGUGGGGCCCAGGCAGGUUCAUGAAUUAUGGAGUGGAGAGAGAGAAGGGUAUGGUAUCAGGGUUGAGAAAGAGCUCUGCUGAAGGGAGCUUCCCCCAGGAAAUAGGUUGUGCUUUAGCUCAACAGCACAGCUCCUUGCAUGUGUGAAACUUGGAGGUUCAGCUCUUCACGUUGGUAGGGAAGUAAGGGGGUGAUGGUGGAUGGAGGACUGCCCAUCCCUACUAAUGACACCCACCCCAAUCCUACACAAUCCUACAUGUGAGCAAGAAAGCCCUCCUUUCCCUCUGCCCCAGCCUCUGAGCAAUCUCUCAGCCUAGGAAGCUCAUUAAGAACAAAGUUAAUGUUUUAUCUCAAUGACACUUGUGUGUGCGUGCGUGUACACACACACACACACAGCCUGUCAGAAGGUUGGACAAGCAGUGGACAAUGGGUCUAUGAGGAUGUGAGGGAAAGGAGGCCUGAAUUACAGCCUGUUUCUGGAGGAAAGAAAUGGGCUGGGGUGUGGGUCCAUGGUAGAACAUGUGCCUACCAUGUGCAAAGCCCUGAAUUCAAUCCCCAGCAGAGAGAGAGAAAGAGAGAGAGAGAGAGAGAGAGAGAGAGAGAGAGAGAGAGAGAGAGAAGAGAAGAGAAGAGAAGAGAAGAGAAAGAAACAGAGAGACAGAGACAGAAACAAACAUAAGAGAAAGAGCAACCUGGAUUCUGGUCAUGACAUAGCCAGCACCCAGUCUGCAGGCCUUUCUGUGACGCAGUACCAGUCCUGUUCAGGACAAGUCAGGUCUUGAUGGAAGGUGAGUGGGUGUGUGCAUGGUGUGGAUGUGUUUGAGACUAAGUGGAUAUGGCGUGCAUGGGUGAGUGUGUUGCUGAGUUGGGCUGGGGUGUUGGAUGACAAUUCACCUCACACCACAGGCUGUGUAAACCUCCCAGCAAAGAUCAGCAUAGCUUUAUCUUGCUAUCUCCAAUGACGCAGAGUCUGGUCACACUGUCAGGAUUCUGGGUUCCUUCUCUGCACAACAUGUUUCAUCUCUCUUGCUAUCCAUUUCUCCUGGGUCUCCUCCCUAUAAAAUGGGGUGAGUCUAGAGUCCACCCAUCCUGCUAUCAGUACCCUACUGUUUGGAACCCACAAACCAGGCUCCAGAAGAGUGAGCCCAGAGGCAGAAGGCUGCCUGGAGGAUGGGUGGUUGCAGCUGGUGUGGUCUGGGAUUCUCUACUGAGGUGUAGUGUUUGGAAGCUCAGGUACACUGCAGCAGAAAGCACAAAAAUCUGCAAAGUGGUUUUCUUUGGCCAGGGCCUGCUGGCUUUGGACAUGCCAGGUCAAAGCAAUAUUCUGCCUGCCUUCAAUCAGGAAUGUACUCCUAUUCCAGGCAGAGAGGCAAGGGAAUUCCACAAUUUCUUCCUUGAUGAAUGAUUCCAAUCUACCACAAUUUUCAUUCAAUGCAUCAAUUUAACACAAUGAUUAUUUAAAAACAACAGAAACAAAAAAAUCUGCAAAGUGGUGGGGAAUUUCUUGCUUGGGCCUAGCUUCAGUAUUUCCAGUGCCAAGCAAGCCUCAUAUUUACAGGCCCUGUAAUGGGCCUGGAUGCUUCCAAACUGGCACUUUGGGCACCUUUGACAUUCUAGAUGCUUCUUACUAAGAGCCCCUCAGGGAAGACCAAAGGAAUUUCCAGAGACAGGUAGAUGCUAUCUUUUCAAGCAUCUGGAUUUUGAUCCAGAAGCUAGGACUCUGGUUCUCAUGCUUCGCCCUCCUCACAGACCCCCAAGCAAACCUCUCCUCUGCGCAAGGGGACAAUCAUUUUUCCUUCUCCUAGUCCCUCUACCCCAAGUCUGGUGAAACAGAGCCUUUAGGGGUUGCUGCAGCAGAGAGGGCCUCCCUCCCAAGAGAAAAAUGCCUUCUGCAAGACAAGAACCAUAGGAAAGAAGCCCAGGAUGGGGGACUGAGGGAGACUCUGAAUUCACUCUCCCUUUCAGGAAAAAUUGUGGUAGACCCCCGUGCGCCCUUUAGCAGGAUAAAGUGAAUUCCGCAGAGGAUUCCAGCUAUCAAGUACCCCGGAAAUUUCCACUGGGCUCCCUCUGGUCAUUAAUGCGUACAAGCGGGGGCAGCAGAACAGCGUUCGGAUCUAACCUGUUCUUUCCUUCCCCAACCUGACAGGGAUCCCGCUCCCUCAGGCCCCUCUGAAGCCUCGCGUGCCCCAGGCGCUGGGCAAGCCAGGGGAAAGCCCUUCCUCCUCCUCCGGCCGCGCUCCUGGGGGCUGCUGGCUGGGGAGGGAGCGCCGAGUCAGGAUCUCGGUGUGUGGGCGGCUGGCUAGCUGCUGACAAGCAGGAUGGGAUCUCCCGGCCCACGCGCCCCCUCCCCCGCCGCGCUCGGCAAUCCUUCGCGGGGGCGGGGGCGGGCACCCCAGGCGCAGGAAAGCCGCGCGCCCCUGCCACCCCGCGCGCCCCCGCUGCUGAGUCACGCGCUCGGGAAGUGCGGUCCCAGCCACGCGCAGCACCUGUGCGCUCCAGCCGCCGCCCGCUUCCUGGUCCCGGCGCUGCGCACUCGCCCGCUGCCCCUGCCUCCCGCCCUCGCCCGGUGCAGCUCCCGCGUCUGGCUGUGUCUCGUCACCUUCCUCCACCCCCGCGGCCCUCUCCCGCUCAGCCCGGCGUGCACACGCCGCCGGUCGCCCACGGCGUCUGGGAGAGCCCCCUCCCCGCGCGCCGCCUCCGCCCACCGCACCGAGCUCCCGAGGGGAGAGAAACUCGGUGUCGCGUCACCGCCUGCCCCAGCGCUCAAGGCUGAACACUGGGCACUCUUCUCGCCCGGCCUCCCUAGGCCUCAGCCCUCGCUAAUGUGAGUGGAUUCCCUUUGGAGAAAAAGGGAAAUUAAGGCGGGAGAAGCCAAGGAAGUCAGGGAUGAGGAGUGUUACCGAGUCCAGCUUUUCAGCAUCCACCUCUCCUGAUCUUCUUGUACCCGCAAGACACCUCCUCUGCUAAAGAAUCGCAGCCCUUUUGUCUUUGAAAUGUGUUUUGUAGCUCAGUUGUAGAAUUCCAAAGGAUCUUUGGGUCCAGCCUGUGAUGGAGCAGGAAGUGUGGCACUGGGUUUGAAUCAACUCUUUCGCUAUUUCUAUGAUCUUGAGCAGGGACAGCUUCGGUUUUCUUGUCCGCAAAAUGGGGACCAGGAAUAGUACCCGUCUUGUGGGAUUGCUAUGAAAAUUCAGAAGGAAUGCCAGUGAAGCCUCAAGCAAGUCAUGUACAUAGUGAGGGUUGAAAGUAAGGUACUUGCUGUUAUUUGGGGACUGUUUCACUAGCAAGAACUUGCCAGAAAGAUGUUUUGUUUUGUUUUUUUCAGUGGUACUGGAGAGGAUGGAGCCCCCAGAGCCUCGGGCAUCUAGGCAAUCACUCUCUACCCAAUCACUCUCUACCAUUGAGCCACAUGCCAGCCUCAGAAAGUGCCUUUUGAGGGUAGAGUUCUUGUCCUCACUCCCACUGUCUUCCAUAGGGCUCAGAACAGGAAGGAUUCCCUCUUCAGUUUGACAGCCCCUCAAACAUCUGAAGAUAGUCAUCCUUUCCUCCCUAGCUCCCUUCCCACCCUCCAGCCCUUGCCAUCUUCACUCAGAUGAGCACACGCAGUCCAGCACUUCCUGCUCCACAUGGUUUUGUGGGUGGCUCUGCCUCACCUCAGUGACAGCUCUUUCAGAGCGCAGUGCCACCAGCAAGUCUGCAGCCCAAAGGGUGUGGCCAGAUCAGCCUGGGCACAGGGAAGCCCUGCCUCAGCCCCAGCUCCAUCUGAGCUCUGGACCUUGCCCAGCUUGCUGUGCUGUCUGGGAACCUGCUGGCUCUCUCAACCCCAGUCACAGGAGAUCUAUCCAACACCUAUACAAUGGGAUGUCAAUUGCCAUAUUUACGUGUACAGGUGACUUUCAUUUUUACAAAAUUGCUGGGACUUUUCACACAGACCUGUUGUUUUGCAUUUCCCCAAUCUGAUUGUGUUCUUUUUUCAAAUCGAAUUCACUCUUUUCAAAUAGAUAACACAUGAACCUAGUACAAGAUUUAAAAGAUGCAGGAGUUUACAAUGAAAAGUGUCUCACUUACCCAUUUUCUAAGUAUUUUUUUAUAUAUUUCUCUCGAGGGGUUUUUGAUGUACAGUCAAACAACUGUGUGUGUGUGUGUGUGUGUGUGUGUGUGUAUACAAAUGGUAGUAUACUAUCUGCUGUUUUGCACUUGGAUUUCCCCCCCUAAUAAAGUAUGUUAGUGAUCCUUCCAUAUUCGGUAUAAAAAGAGCUGCCUCCAAUCUUUUUAAUAGCUGCAAAGUAUUCCAUUGCUGGGAGUUUUGGAAGGCAUGCUCUGUGUAACCAUUCUGGGUGGGCUUUUCUGAGAGUCAGGGGAUUGGGUGAUAGGCAGACACUGAGGGGCUCCUUUGGAGACUGUCCCUCCAGUUGCUGACAUGCUACAGUCAUGGGUAAGUUGCAGUUGAAAUGAGAUUCAGAGACUGAAAACCCUGACCCUGCUUCCUUUGUGGUCCACAGGCUUCAGGUAGGGGAAACCCUCAGAGUAUUAUAAUCUUGUUCACAAAAAGCUGAAGCAAAUCCUAACACCCCACCCCUUUUCAGGGAGUCUUCCUGAAUUGAUCUGAGAAAUAAACCAAUGCUCUUGCAAAAGGUGGUUUCCUUCUCUGAAUAUGCAUAUAUUUUAAUGGCAUAUGCAUUCCUUCAUUCAUUAUGCUUAAUAAAUAUUUAUUGAGUAUUUACUGGGCUGGUUACAACUCUAGGCACUGGAGUACAGCAGUGAACAAAAAUCUCCCACAUCCUUUCAUGAAGCUUGCAGACCAAAACAUAAACAAAAUAAUGAAAACUUAUGAUGCAUCUGAUGGGAUAAAUGCUCUGGAGCCGAGAAGGGGGUCUGGAGUAUAAGAAUUGUGAUUUCAAUAGGAUACCCUGGAAAGGCUACAUUGGGAAGAUUAACACCAGAGCAAAAUCCGGAGGAAGAGAUAGGAGGUUUUCAAUGUCUGGGGAGAAGUCUCCUGGCAGAGGGAACAGCCUGCACAAAGGCCAGAGUGGGAAUCAGCUUGGUUGUUCCAGUUCCUGGGAGUGCAGAGAGUAGCCUCGGGUGAAAUCAGACUGGUGUGGGAUGUAGGGAGAAGGGAAGUGCGCAGGGGUGGAGCAGAUCUUGUAAUCAUUCUCAACUGGCACUUCCAAAUCCACCAGGCCAUGUUUGGAAAUGUGUAGGAGCAUUUUUAGAUGUCACAAUGGCGGAUGGACUUGGGGGAGGUGGAGUUGCUCUACUAGAAUUUAGUGACAGGGGCCAUGUCAAACAUUCUGUAGAGCUCAGGAUGGUCCACAUAAUGAAGAAUUUUCCUGCCAAUGAUGCCAGUGUUUCUUGUUAAGGGCAUUGGAAUCCACUGUGAAAUGUUUGGCUUCUACCUUGAGAAAUACUGGGAACCAUUGGAUAAUUUUGAGCAGAGGAUGCUUAAAAGGAACUUUGAACACUGGAUUGAGAAUAGACUGAAGAAGAAAGGGAGAUAUAGAGUGGGGUUUAGGCAAGAGGUUGGCACAAAAUCCAGGUAGGAAAUGGUUAGUAGCUCAGACCUGGGUAGUAGCAGUGGAAGUGGUGACAAGCUGCCCAGACAGUUGUACUUCCUGAGGGAUUAAUGUGUGUAGGAAAGACAGAAAAUGAGGAUGAGUCCAAGGUUUGAGCCAGAGUCACUAAAAGAAUGAGAUGGGGAAAUCUUGGGUAUUGAAAUUUAGGAGGUCAAUUUCAAGAUGCCCAUUAGACAUUCAACUGGAGAUGUUGAAAUUGGCAUUAGGGAUGGCUGGGCAUAUAAAUCUGGGCUGGUUUUUAAUCCUUAAGCCUGGACAACACCAUCAAGCAGUGAGAAAAUAAAGAGAACCAGAGGCAGAGUCCUGGAGCACACUAGUAUUGGGAGAUGGGGAUGGUGGCCAAGAAGGGACAACCAAAGGGCAAAGAAAAAAGCUUAGAGAGCAGAGGGGUUUCCAGGAGGAGGCCAUGAACCUUAGAGUGAAACACUGCUCACAUGUGGAAUAGAAUGAGGAAUUGUUCAUUGGCUUCGGCAACAUUCAAGCAAUUGGAGACUUGAAAAGCAGAAUUUUGCUAGAACAUUGACUAGUAGUAUGCAUUAAAGAGAGAAGGGGAGGGCCAGGGCUGCGGCUCAGUGGUAGAGUGCUUGCCAGGCAUGCAUGAGGCACUGGGUUUGAUCCCAGCACCACAUAAAAAAUAAACAAAAUAAAGAUAUUGUAUACAUCUACAACUAAAAAAAUUUUUAAAAAGAGAGACAAAUCAAUUAAAUGUAAUGUGUGGACCCUGAUUAGAUCCUCAUUCAAAUGAAGCAACUAGAAGACAUUUUCAAGACAAUCAGGGAAAUCUGAAGAGAGACAAGAGAAUUGCUGUUAUGUAGAUAUGAGAAUGAUACUGUUGUUAUAUCUUCUUAAAGUUCUUACCUGUUAGAGAUACAAACUAUUCUAGCAAAAAAAUGUUGGGAGGUAGAAGAUCAACAAAAGGUGUGUUUAAAGUUUCACUAAUAAUAAAUAUAAAAGUGUUCCCUGGUAUGUGGAAGCUAGUCCAAAAUAAGGAGGAGAGGAGAGAGAGUGAGAAGGGGGAAAGGGGAGGAGGGGCUCCAUCAAAAAUGAAGGAAGGGCUGGGGUUGUGGCUCAGUGGCAGAGCACUUGCCUAGCAUGUGUGAGGCACUGGGUUCGAUUUUCAGCACCGCAUAUAAAAACAAAAUAAAGGUCCAUUGACAGCUAAAAAUUGUUUUUUUUUUUUAAAUGAAGGAAGACUGGUGGGCUAGAUGAAGGGGACUGAGGGAGGGAGAAGAGAUAGGAUAAGGGAAUAACAGAGGAAUGAAUCUAACUUUCCUAUGCUCAUACAUGAAUAUACCACAGUGAAUCUCACCAUCGUGUAUAUACACAAGACACCAAACAAAAAAAAAAGUCUAAAAGUAAAUAGCAGAAAGAUCAGUAGAGUAGAGGAAAGGAAGGAGAGAAGGGGAAGGGGAAAUACUAGGGUCUGAAUGAUAUUUUUAUUUCAUGCUUUUUUAAUUAUGUCAAAAUGAAUCCUAGUGUAUGUAUAACCAAAAAGAAACAAUUAAAUAGGUUUUUUUAAAGUGUAAGAAAUUAUGGAAUUGAGAGGAAUUGUAGAAAGUGGGUAUAGAAAAUUCUUCGAUGGGUUUUACUAGGAAAGAAGGGCAAUAAAUGGGGUAAUAACUGAAGGGGAAAGUGGUUUAAGAUGAAGGAUUAUAAGCUGGAAGAAAUAAUAGUACAUUUGCUUUUGCAGUACCUCAGGCAACACUAUGUAUUGAUCCUUGCACCACAAGAAAGACCCUGUUCAGAGCUCUACCAAGAAAUCUAGAAAGACUCCUAUAGGAAGUGAAUCAUUUAAUUACUUUGAGUGCAGAGGAAAUAUGACUAUGUGCUUAUAAUGGGUUAGGCACUUUGUUAAGUGUUUCACAAACUUUUUUCUCCAUAUGUCCUAAAAAACUUCAUGAGCUAAGCUCUGUCCUACAUUCCAAGUUACUUGUCCCAUUCAAACCCAGGCAGUAUGGGUCUGGCAGUUGGGGCUCUUGGCCUCUACUCUCCCCUGCCUUUCUGCAGAUGACUGCAGUCACGUGUUUCCAGAUUUUUUUCAAAUGUACUUGUCCUGGCCUCUGCCCUGGGGAAUGUCACUCAGCAGGGGACCAGGGGAAGAAGGACAGACAAGCAUGCUUUAAAUGAAUCUCUCAAGGGAUUCAGAUGCAGCUCCCUGCUUAAAAACCAUUAGGAUAGAUCAACCUGAACACAUUCAUUUAUCAACACAUACACAGACAUUCACACCACUGCUGUAUGCAAUUAGACUAGCUGGAGCUGAGGGGAAAUUUUGAAAUAUUAUGCACUGCUAUACAGAAGGGAGGAGAGUAGAGAGAGGGAGCUGAGUGUGUUAUUGUUACUUAGGGAUGGAAAUUUUUAUUUAGGCUCCUCAAGGGCAGGAGUCAUAUGUAUACACUCACUUAACAAGUAUUAUUGAACACCUCCUGCUAACAGCACUGCUGUCGGCACAGAGGAUUCAUUGUGAACAAAUCAAAGACCCUGCUAUCAUAGAGCUCUGAGUCAAGAGGAGAAGACAGGCACGAAACAAGUAAAUUUGCACAUAUGUAAUCUAAAUUCAAAGGAUUGAAAGGAAAAGAAGGGGAUGAGCCAAAGGAAGGUUUUUGUUGUUGUCAUUGUUUGGGCAGUGUUCAGAAUGGAACCCAGGGCCUCACACAUGCUAGGCAGGUGCUCUACCACUGAGUACCCCAGUUCAGGAGGGUUGUUUUGAUAGGCAAGACCUUGCUUAGGAGAUGACACUGCUGCAGAGAGAUUAAAUAAAACAGGCAGUAGAGGGGACCGAAGCUAAGUGCACUGACUGCCAGAACCACACUGCCUGGCUUGAAUUGAAACAAGUAACCUUUUCCAUGGGGAAAGCAUUCCGGGAAAGGGCCCUAGGCCAGAAGAAAAGUAUGUGUCAAAGAACCCAGAAAGGAAGGGGUAGCCAAGAGGGGACCCAAAAAGGGAGACAGCGAGAGAGGGGGAGAGGAAAUGGGGUUGGGAGGGGCUUUCUGGAGGAGUGUCAGGGUGAGAUAUGUCAAGUGGGUGGAGACCCUGAGCAAAGGAAUGAUGUCAUCUACUGCUACAGAAAACCGUUCAGGGGCUUGAAGGGCAGAAAAAGGAGACUAGCUCAACAGAGACAGCCCCAGAAAAAAAUUCAUAAUCAUUCCAUAUUCACUCAUUUAUUCAAACUUUCUUUAAAUAUCCAUGUACUUAAUUUUUGCUAUGUGUUAGGCAUUUAUGUACUUUAUUAUCUCAUUUAUUGACACAAUCUUGAUGGGAUGAUAUCAUUAUUCCUAUUUCAUAGAAGUAGUAACUGAGGCUCAGAGAAGUUAAGGUGACCCACCCAAGGUCACAUAACCAAAGUGCUAUUUUCAGGAGUCACAUGAGAGUGGUAGCCUCUUAUACCCUGUCUCCACUCUAGGGGGAGUCCCCUGUGGUGCAGAAAGUGCUUCCUCCAAGCAAAGUAUAGUCUGGGAUAUAUACCAGUAUUCAGGGACAAAAAGGAUGGUGGCACUAUGCCCAUACAACAGUUGUUCAUGUUGUUGCAGCUCUGAACUUGGCCCUUGGCCCACUCAUCUCUGUCAUGCAAGGCAGUACUAGGCUAGAGGGCUGGCAGAAUGCCACCCACAUGUAGCCACAAGAUGGAUGGUUGGCAGGUCACUGUGGGGCAUCGAAUCCCUCCAGGGCCCACAUGGUCAGAAGGGUUCACAUAUGGGACGAAACAUCCUUGGCCUCAGCUCUGUAUGUGUGUGUGCACACACACGCAAUGUUGUAUGUGAAAAAAUAUAUGUUUGUGUUUAUGUAUCUGCACAUUCAAGAGUGAGUGUGUGUGCAUGCACAUGUCUGAACAUGUAUGUGUGCCUACAUAUGCAUACAUACAUUUGGAGAGUUUAUAUUUAAUGUAAGACUGAAGUUCAUUUAGGACCUAUGGGAGUACACUGAAUGUGUGCUUGACAUUAGAUAUGUAUGUUAAGAAAUGUAUGUGUGGAUGUGUUGGGCACAAAGGGGCACGUGUGUAUGCUUGUAUGUAUGAAUCUUUGCACACCCAAUUGUGUGCAUGUAUGCUGAGUGUUAGAGUUCAGCUGAUUUAUCAGGAGCAAACAGGCUUUUUGAUAAGUGUGUGAGUUGGGUGGAUGCCAUGAGCAGAGUCAGUGUUGGGAGGUCAGUGGAAGUUAUGGGAUGGAGUUGGCUGAAUGAGGUUUGAUUUCUGUCGAAUUUUAAGAGCCUGAAUGUGCUAUUAAGGGCAAGAUCAAGGCUCUUGUAUUCACAACUGAGAGGCCACCUCCGCUACAGAUGCUGGGGGAGCAGGUAUAGUGAGUGUGGGAGCCAGAGGCAGGUGCAGCAGUGAAAGGGGAAUGGGGGUCAUCAGACUUCACUUAGCCUUAGUUUCCCAUCGCUCAAAUGGCAUUAAUAUAAUAAUAAUGAUAGUAAUUAAUAGAAAUGUUAUGAAUUAUCUUGUUAUACUACAUUAUUAUACAUAAGAUUCUUCUUAGGGUUUUCAAAAGUGUCUUGUAAAUGAGAAACUCUGUAAAGGUACAAUCAUUAUUCACCCUCACUGGGUUUCCUCACCUUUCCUGGUAAAGCAGUGCGGCCCACAUUCGGCUAAGGGUGGGUUAGUGCACAGUGUAGACGUGCUGUGUGCUGCUCUGGCCUUGAGUAGUCAAGACUUGGUGAGAAGCAGCCUCUGGGGCUGGUGUGGGCCUGAUGGCCUUGAUCUGUCCUCUCAAGCCAGUUUUGCUCAACAGCCAGGCUGAAGUCUGCCAGGUAAUAAAGAGGUCUCUUGUGAGAGAAACUGGCAAGAUGUAGUGAUGGCCCAGCUCCGUAAUUCAUGCUGUGCUGCCCAGUCUGGCACCAGAAUCCCUCCUGGCUCCCUACAAAGCGUGCUGGGGUUCAGAAAAACUCGCUUGGGUUUGGACAACUACAUGGGUCCAGGCUUGCUGGGCAGGAAGGAGAGGAAAGCAUGGAGCUGGAGGGCUGGGAUGGAGCUAGUUUCCUAAUGGUUCUUAGGCUGGGCUGGGUGGUGAGUAUGGAAGGAGGAAGGGGCUGGGGCCCCCUGACACAUUCAGGUUACAGACUGGGUUUUCUCCCCAGAGACUGCCAAGCUGAUGCCAAGGCUGUGUGAUACUGAACAAGUAUCUUAGUCUCUCUGAGUCUCCUCUUCCAUAAAAUGAGGAUUACAAUGAGGUGAUGUGUGAAAGGUGCUAACACACUGCUUUGAGCAUAAGGAUGAGUAGGUCUGUGUCUCUGUGGUGUGUUUUUUGUUUACAUGCAUGCGAUUGUUUCAUGUAUGUGCAUGUCUGAUUCUCCAUUUCCCCCCAGCACCCUCAGGAAUAAGAACUUAUUUAUGCAUUCUGUCUACAAACAGUAUCGGCUCUAUGCCACAUGCCAGGCCAUGUUCUGUACUAGAUGUAAAGAUGCAUUGGUCACAGAAGUGUUCUGGAAAACUCAUUCCAGUAUAGAGAGAUAUAACAUGCAUAUAAACAGUGAUCCAGCAUGGAAAAAUUUGAUGUUGCAGCCUGUUAGUGCAUCAGGGACACCACCAACAGAGCUCAGAGGUGAGUGCUUCUGGCCCAGGUGGGGACAGAGGCCUGCAGAGCUCGGGGUAGGCCUAAGGACAAACUAGGGAAGACUUUCCAGAAGAGACGCCCAGCCCUGGUCCUAUAGGUAGCCAGAAUCUGGAUAUUUGGAGUUUGGAGGAGCCUGGAAUCUCUGACUGAGGCUUCCGUCAUCCUUGGUCUGUUUCUUAACUGUAAAUUGGGGAUAUGGAUCUAGGCUCUGUUGUUCCCACAUCCUUGUUGCAAGACUUUUGAGUUUGCAGCUGCAGGUCUGGGAGAAGUAAUUGAGUCUGGUUGAGUCUGGAAGCAAAAAGUGCAAACUAAUUGGUCCAGGCACAGUACUAAACACUUUAGAUACAUUAGCUCAUUUACUUGUUAUAGAGACCCUUUGAGGUAUAUGAUGAUGAUGAUGAUGAUGAUGAUGAUGAUAUGCUAUUAGUAUCCUAUUUUAUAGGUAAGGAAACUCAGAUUCAGCCAGGUCAAGCUACUAAACAGAAAGUGAACUUUGAACUUUGGACUGCUGGAGCCCAUAUCAGCUGGGUACAGACAUUUUCUUCUAUGCUUGCCUUGUGCUACACUUUGUGCUAAGCACCAAAAAUGUUAUCUUGUUUGACUUCCACAAUAGCCUGAUGAUGUCACUUCUUUGAUGACCUCCCCUUUUCAGAAGAAAUUGAGACUGAAGAAGCUCAGAUAAUCUGCCUGUGAAUCCACAAUCAUUGCAGUGGGAAGAUGAAGCCUGAAUGCAGGCCGUCCUGAGUCCACAGCCUGCUGGUUUCCUGGGAACCAUGCCAUUUCCUGUUUUUUGAGAAGAGCCUUCAGUGAAAUUCCUUCCCCAGAGAUUUUUGUGACUCCUCCACACAUUCCAAAAGGGGGCACUCCUAGGACCAGAGACACACAACCACAAUAUACUAUGAAAACUGUAAUGAACCAUCGCAAUACUUAGUGUCAUAAAGCCACCCCCUAAUUCAAAAUACAGUUAAGCAUCUGUUUUGCUAAUAAAUCUGCAAUUUGGACAGGAUUCAUUAGGGAUAGUUCCUUUGUGCUCUACCUGGCAUGAGCUAGAGUGGCCUGGCUAAGGCUGACCAGACUCAUCUUCAGGAUGGUCACCAAAUGGCUGGCAGGUUGUGUUGAUUGUUGGUUGCUUUUCACAUAAUUCUCUCCAUAGAGUUGUUGAGGCUUCCUCCCAGAAUGGUGACUGAUUUCCUCUUAUUUCCAUGAAAAAAAAAAUAAAAGGAGGAAAACUAGGGCAGAUCACUUUUCUGGAAGUCAAGGGAAGAGGUGUUUCAGGAAGGAGGCUUUGGCUAACAAAAUCUGUAGGGAAGUCAAAUUAAUUAGGAACUUGGGUCUGGCAAUCAGGAAGACAUUGUGGACCUCCCUGGGGAAAGUUCUGCUGGGGUCUGGGGGAAGAACCCAGGUAAUGGCCAGUUGGCAGGAGAUAAAGAUGAAGGGAAACUCAUGCAAGCAGUACUCUUUCUGGAAGUGGCUGGAAAAGGAAGCAGAGAGUUAUAAUCAGGGGAGAAGAGAUGCAGGAAAAUAGUAUUUUUUAGAAUGAUUUGAGCAUGUUUACAUGCUUAUGAGAAUAACAAUAUUGAAGAGGGAGGAGAUGGGAUGAAAACAGGAUGAGGCAUGAAAAGGACAUGAACACCACUCUCUCAAGGUCAAAGGGAGAGAAGCAAGAGUGGCCCUAAGUCAGACAUAUUAAUAACAGCUUCCACUUAUUAAACUAAGUUGUACUGUAAGCGCUUUAUGUGUUUUUAACUCGUUUCAUCUCAUAUGACCCUUUAAAGAAGAUCUAUGGUUCAGACGUGGUUUCUCCCCAUCAAAACUCAUAUCAAAGCUUGGUUCCCAACGAAACAGUAUUGAAUGGAAGUGAGACUUUUAAGAGGUGGAGUCUAGUGUGUGUGGGGGGGGGGUCAUGCCCACCCUUCUAAAGGAAUUAAUGCUGGUCUCAAAGGACUGAUUAGAUCCCAUGAGAGCAGAUUAGCUGCUGAGGAGCUGGUUAUUAUAAAAAAAAAGUUAUUUUGGCCCCUUCCUGCUCUCUGGACCUCUCUCUCACCAUGUGAGCUAUAUCUUGCAUGCACUCUUGCCACAUGAUGUCAUUCACCAUCUUUGACUGUAGUUAAGGAGGCCCUCACCAGAACUGGUGCAAUGUUAUUUGCACUUUCCAGUCACCAGAGUCAUGAGUCAAAUUAACUUCUUUUCUUUAUACAUUACCCAGCAACAGAAAUUUUAUCAUAGUGACUCAAAAUGUGAAACAGACCCCUUUUGAAAUUAAAAAUUCCAAUCAAGGGAUGGGAGGUGAGGAGGGAGGGAGGGAGGAAGUGCUGAAAAGUGAUAUUGGCCAUAUUAUUAUAUUGUUAUAUUGUGUGCAUGUGCAAAUAUAUAACAACAAAUUCCAUUAAUUUGUAAAAGGAUAAUGCAUCAACAACAAAGAAAAAAAAACGUGGGGGGGAAAAGAUUCCUACUUGAAAAUUGAGAAAAAAAUUUAAAACUCUAAAUUAUUUUAACUUCUAAACUUUUUCAUACUGAGGAUGGAGGCCAAGGGGCUGCCUCCUGUCCCUCACAGGUUUCCUGGGGAACCUAAGACUGUGACAUGUUUCUAAUUAAUAUAAUCUAGCUAAAUCUAUGCAUGUAUAUCACCUGGUCUUUAAUUUUUUUUCUUUAAAUCAAAUGGCUUCUGUGGGAUUCGCAGAGAAGCAAUCUAGUUUCUAGCAAUCUAGAAGCAACUAGAUUGAUUCUCCCCAGUUUGAUCAAACUGCAUAAAAUUUAUGUUUCCUUUUUUCCAUCAUUUGCCUAUUUCUUAUGCAGGCAGCUGAAUUCAGCUAGCUGGGAUCCAGGCAGUUUCCCUGGCUGGGCUGCUGGUAACAAAUGGACAUCCAUUUCAUCCUCAUACAACCCUUUGAGAAGUUUAAAUAUGAUUUGUCCCUGUCAAAACUCAUGUCAAAGCUUGAUUCCCUGUGUACCAGUUUUGAAAGGUGUGGACCUUCCAUCCCAUUUUACAGAUGGGAAAUGGAGGCAGAGUUUGUACAGAGGAGUUAGGAAGGAUUACUCAAGCAGGCUUCCUACAAGCAGUGAGGAAAGGAGGAGCAGAACACUGAACCUGGCUGGACAACCCUGUCCUGAAUAUCAACAGGCUUGACAUUUUCUGUUGUAUGCACCCCAGCUGCUGGAACAGCUAUAAACAUGUACCUUAUUAAGUGUCAGAUUGCACCACUGAGCAAAGGAAAUCCUGACCUGAAGGAAGAGAUGGGGGACCCAGGAGAAGGAAGUCAAGAAGGUAUCCUGGUAGGGCUCUGUUUGCAAGCAAGCUGUGGUUGCUGAGUUCCUCAGUGGCAGAGACUAAUAAUCUCAACAAUCAUCGUUAUAAGAUUUUGCAUCUGUACAGGGUUUAUUAUGUUUCUCUCAAGGUAGUUUCACAUUUGCAGUCUUACUGAAUCCCACAACUCAACAAGAUAAGCAAAGUGAGACAGAAACCUCAUUUACCAUGACCUUCCUUUCCUGAGGAAGAGCAACAGAAUGGGGCCAGGUCUCCAUCUUCAGCUCAGAGCUAUUUCUGACACACCUCCUGGGGACCCUUUCUCAGCCCAGGCCCUGUUUCCCCCAUUCAUCCGUCCACAUCCCCAAUUUUCUCAUUGUCCUAGUUUCUGGCCCCCUGCACUCCGUUGGCUCAGUGAUGAGCCAUCUGGUCUCUGAAAAUACAAUCUAGCUGUUGAAAGAAGGAAAAACACAAUGUCUUUCUGCUGCUUGGAAGGGGGUUAAUAAUUAGGUGAUCUGGGGGCAACGGGUGGAGGGAAGUUAAGAAAAAAACUGAUUCUAAAGCCUCUUGAAGUAAUACGAACUAAGGAGGAAAACAAAAAGAUUUUGGUCUUUUCGCUUUUCAAUCAGUUGUAUUAAAGUAAAAUGACAAACAAUAAAAGUCACCCAUUUUCAGGGUAUAGUGUGAUGAGGUCUGAUGGAUGUCUGCAGCCACGUAACCACUAUCUUAAUCAAGAUGUAGAACAUUUCCAUCACUCCAAAUGAACCCUGAUUCUCUUUUGCCAUUAAUCCUUCCCCUCCCAAACUGCUGAAACUUACUUUCUGUCACUAUAAUUUUGCCUUUCUAGAACAUCAUAUAAAUGUAGUCUUUUGUGUCUAAAUCCCUUCAUUUAGUAUAAUACUUAUGAAAUUCAUCCAUGUUGGGAUAUGUAGGAUAGUUCCCUUUCAUUGCUGAAUAGUACACAUUUCAUUGUAUGGAUAUACUACAAUUUGCUCAUCUAUUUGCCAGAUGAUGGACAUUUAAGUUGUUGCAUUUGUUUUUCUACUCUGAACAUUUGCUGCUGUGAAGAGUUUUGUGUCAUUAUGUUUGUAUUUAUCUUGGGUAAAAUCCUAGGAAUGCAAUUGCAGGGACAUAUUGCAAGUGUGUGGCCUAACUUCAUAAGGAAAUUCCAGGCUAUUUUUCAAAUUGUUGCACCAUUUUGCAUUCCCACCAGAAGUAUGGGAGAGUUCCAGGUGCUUCACACCCUUGUCAACACUUGGUGUUAUCAGACUUAAAUUUUAGUUCCUCUGGUGGAUGUGCAAAGGGAUUUCACUAUGGGUUUUAAUUUGUGUGAUGACUAAUGGUACUGAAUAUCUUCUCACGUGUUUAUUUUUCUUUGAUGAAGUGUCUGUUCAAAUUUGCUGCACAUUUUCCUAUCAGGUUGCCUUUUCAUAUUAGGUUAUAAGAGUUAUUCAUUUUUAUUCUUGGUGCCUUUCAAAGAGAAAAUUUGACAUUUAAAAAUUUUCUUGAUGAAGUCUAGUUCUAUUUAUUUAUAAUUUUUGCAGUGCCAGAAACAGAACCCAAGGAUUUGUACAUGCUAGGCAAGCAUUCUACCACUAUGUCCCCAGCCCUAAUUCUGGCAAUUUUUUUUCUUUUAUAGUUUGUGCUUUUUGGUCUUAAGAAAUAUUUGCCUGCCCUAAAGUCACAGAGUAUCUCCUAUGUUUUCUUUGAGAAGUUUUAUCUGUUAUUUUAGGUUUAUGAUCUAUUUUGUAUUCAUUGUUUUAUAUUGUACAAGGCAAGGACUGAAGUCCUUUUUUCGGCAUAUGGAUAUACAAUUGUUUCAGCACUAUUUGUUAAAAAUAUUCACAUUCCCUUUGAAUUAUCUUGGCACUCUUACCAGAAAUCAAUUGAUGACCUAUGUGCUGAUCUGUAUGUAACCUCUGUAUUUGCUUCAAUCAAUCCAUAUGUUUAUUCUCAUGACAAUACCACACUGUCUUUUUUUUUUUUUUUUGGUGGUGCUGCUGCUGGAAAUGGAACUAGGUCCUCAUGCAUGUUAGGCAAAUGCUCUGCCACUGAGCUACACCCCUAGCACCACACCAUCUUAAUUAAGGCAGAUCUAUUUUAAGUCUUGAGGGCGUAUAGUGUUAAUUCUAUAAGUUGUUGGUUUUUUUCCAAAGUUAUUUUGGCUAGUCAGUCCCCCCAUAUCCCUAAGAAGAGGAGAAUCUUCUGAAAAAAAUAAAGAUCUGUUUCUUCCUGUUUAUCAACUUCAGAUUAGAUAAGCUUCCUGGAUGAGGUGAGAAAAUUAAGAGAAAAGUAAAAAAAAAAAGAAAGAAAGCAAUUCAUUUUCUAGGCUUUACCCUCCAGUGAGAAUGGUGUUAAGGGUGGGGCAUGGGAAUAUGAUGGGAAGUGAAGUGAUUUUAGGGUUUCUCCCUUUCCCUGGAAUUCAAGGCAGCUCCUUUAGAGAGUUUCCCUGGAGGUUUCCUUUCAAAGUCUGGGGAGAAAGUCUUCUUGCUUGGUGAAGCAAGUCUCCAGUUUGGUGAAAGGGUGGGAGGGAUCCUCCGUCAAAGUUGCCCCACGGAGAUUCCUGGGUUUUCUUCCUGUAUGUUCCUGCAGAGAAUCCCUUUUCCAACCUCUCUGCCAAUUCCCCCACUGCACUCCUGCACACCUCCUCAGGUCUAAACCAUGCCACUAUUUUUAUGGCCAUGCAGUGGAAUCCUGAGUCUCAAACUAAAUACAGAUGUGGGCGGUCAUAGGUUUAUAGCCUCUCAUAAUUUUGAGAACCUGGCACCAGUAAAGCUUUCAUGAUGUCCCUUCUCCUUCCAACCAGUCGGCUGGCACCUCAGCCCCCCUUCUUUCCCCAGCACUGCCCUUUCUCAGCUGUCUCCUUCUUCAGAAGCAGGGUCCUCCUCUCACUCAGCCUAAGCUUUCCUCCUCCUUGGGGUCCCGCCAUUGCUUCUUAGCAGAUCCUUCGCUCCUGUCUUGCUUGGCUGAUGCCUUCAAAUUCCCAGAGCCAGCCACUCUGCUGGCCCAGAAACCUGGAGCUUUCUGCUCUGCUCUUCUCUCACUCCCAAGUCCUCCAAGCUCCUCCUCCACCCAGCCUCACAGCACAACCAGAGACCCACAACCCAUGAAAAUCCUCAAUAUCUGUCCUCACAUCCAGGUGUCACGCCACCUCUAACCACAUACCAGUCCUCAUACCCCCUCAGACUCAUCACUUUGGGAGACCUGGGAUUGCUGAAGCUGGGGAGGACCAAAUGUGCCCAAAGACAUGGGCCCUGGAAUUAAGGGUCCAAGGAAGAAUUGAUUUUGUUCUGGAUCCUACAGCCUGGCUCAUUUGGCAUUCCAAGACCCAAGGACUAAGAAUGUGUCAUAUUCUUUUUCAGGAAGGGUCCCUUUCAUUGCCAGUUUCUAGUGUCCUUCAGCCCCAGAACUCCUUGGGGUAUGAACCCCUCACAUUACAAUGUAAUUGAUGCACGGGAACUGUGUGACAGGGUCGCUUGGAGAAGCCCCUCCCAGGCUCUUUUGUCAGGCAGGUUGAGGGCUGUAUGAUUCGAAAGCCUGCCUCACAUUCCUGAUGUCCCCCUACGACCACCCAAAGUGUGAUGAUUGUGCUCGGGCCUAUGGGGAUCAUUCUCCUUUCUUUACGUUUCUGGUAGCAGCAACUCCUUGGUACUCAGUGGUAGAGCCCCCCUGGGUUCAAUCCCCGGUACCCCCCCCCAAAUCCAACAUCCAACAAAACUUCCACAUCUUCCUCAUCACUCUAGAGGUGAGGGAACUGAGGCACAGUGAGUUUGUGAACCACUGAUAAAAUAUCAAGCAUUAACACACAUUACCUCACUUCUUAGGGGAACACUUUGUGGUGUGUGUUAUCAUCCCCUUUUGUACAAAUGAGAAAGUAAAAACUCAGAGGAAUUAAGUGACUUGGGCAAAGCCACACGGCUAGUUAGUAACAGAGCUAAACCUGGCAGAGGGCAGUCUGAUUUCCAGGAUUAUGCCUAUUACUCCUCUUCAAAAGGUUUCAUAGCCAGUGGACAUUCAUGUCUUCAUUCUCUAAACCUGGAGUGGAAGUCCUCAGUACCCAGCACAGUGCCUUGGUGCUCAGCGCAUUGACAAAGAUCAAAGUCCUUGUUUGAGUGAAGCUGUAGAGGAGGCUACAUUUAGAGUGUGGACUAAGGGAUCGGGCCUCAUUUGUACUUCUCUGCCUGAGUCUACAGUUUUUCUUGACACUGCACUCAAGCCUCAGUCUGAAUCUCUAGUCUCUGUGNCCAGCAAGAAGGGCUCACCUCCUGGUUCUUCCCCUGUGGCUCCUCUGUCCACAACCUAUUCCUUGAGCCUCCUUAGCCUGGCCAAGGGGCUCCCCUAGGACCCCCUGGCCUUCUCCUGGGGUUUGGCCCGUGCUGAAUUUCUGAUCCUGCUCAGUCUGCCUCUAACCACCUCUCCUGCCCCAGGUCAUGGUCCAAGUCCCCUGACUGGGCAGGUCUUAGCUUAGUUUGGCUGAAGCUGUCCUUCAGCCACGCAGACUUCCCUUUCCUCCACCCUGAGGGAAAGCCAAACAGAGGGAGCCAAAGAAUUCUUUCCCAUAAAAAUCAAUUUGGAGUUGUGAUGAGAAAGGCACUUUCCUUCUGGGUAAUCCUCUCCAAACCCCUAGCCACAGUCUAACAGGGAAAACUAGCAGACAAUUUAAAUUCUAAACUGGGGAUACUCCAUAAAACACCUGACUGAUACUCUUCAAACUUUUAAGAGCAUGAAAGCGACAAAGAGACAGAAAUUGUCACAGACCAGGAGAGACCAAGGAGACAUGGCAACUGCAGUGUGGUGUCCUGGAUGGAUGGAUCCUGGAGCAGAAAGAGGACAUCAGUGGAAAAACAGGAACUACAAAGUCUGAAUUUUAUUUGAUACAGAUGAUAAAAUGAGAAGGAAAACAUUGAUUGUGUCUUAGAACUUUAUAGUGUUUACCACGUGGCAAAUAUGGUUUGAAGCACUUUACAGAUAGUAACUUACUAUUCUCACAAAUCCCUGACAUCAGCCAGGUGCAGUGGUGCAUGCCUGUGAUCUACUUGGGAGGCUGAGGCAGAAGGAUCUCAAGUUUGAGAUCACCUUUGGCAACUUAUUGAGAACCUGUCUCAAAAUUAAAAGAGUCCCCACUGCUUCUUAGCGGAUCCUUCGCUCCUGUCUUGCUUGGCUGAUGCCUUCAAAUUCCCAGAGCCAGCCACUCUGCUGGCCCAGAAACCUGGAGCUUUCUGCUCUGCUCUUCUCUCACUCCCAAGUCCUCCAAGCUCCUCCUCCACCCAGCCUCACAGCACAACCAGAGACCCACAACCCAUGAAAAUCCUCAAUAUCGGUCCUCACAUCCAGGUGUCGCGCCACCUCUAACCACAUACCAGUCCUCAUACCCCCUCAGACUCAUCACUUUGGGAGACCUGGGAUUGCUGAAGCUGGGGAGGACCAAAUGUGCCCAAAGACAUGGGCCCUGGAAUUAAGGGUCCAAGGAAGAAUUGAUUUUGUUCUGGAUCCUACAGCCUGGCUCAUUUGGCAUUCCAAGACCCAAGGACUAAGAAUGUGUCAUAUUCUUUUUCAGGAAGGGUCCCUUUCAUUGCCAGUUUCUAGUGUCCUUCAGCCCCAGAACUCCUUGGGGUAUGAACCCCUCACAUUACAAUGUAAUUGAUGCACGGGAACUGUGUGACAGGGUCGCUUGGAGAAGCCCCUCCCAGGCUCUUUUGUCAGGCAGGUUGAGGGCUGUAUGAUUCGAAAGCCUGCCUCACAUUCCUGAUGUCCCCCUACGACCACCCAAAGUGUGAUGAUUGUGCUCGGGCCUAUGGGGAUCAUUCUCCUUUCUUUACGUUUCUGGUAGCAGCAACUCCUUGGUACUCAGUGGUAGAGCCCCCCUGGGUUCAAUCCCCGGUACCCCCCCCCAAAUCCAACAUCCAACAAAACUUCCACAUCUUCCUCAUCACUCUAGAGGUGAGGGAACUGAGGCACAGUGAGUUUGUGAACCACUGAUAAAAUAUCAAGCAUUAACACACAUUACCUCACUUCUUAGGGGAACACUUUGUGGUGUGUGUUAUCAUCCCCUUUUGUACAAAUGAGAAAGUAAAAACUCAGAGGAAUUAAGUGACUUGGGCAAAGCCACACGGCUAGUUAGUAACAGAGCUAAACCUGGCAGAGGGCAGUCUGAUUUCCAGGAUUAUGCCUAUUACUCCUCUUCAAAAGGUUUCAUAGCCAGUGGACAUUCAUGUCUUCAUUCUCUAAACCUGGAGUGGAAGUCCUCAGUACCCAGCACAGUGCCUUGGUGCUCAGCGCAUUGACAAAGAUCAAAGUCCUUGUUUGAGUGAAGCUGUAGAGGAGGCUACAUUUAGAGUGUGGACUAAGGGAUCGGGCCUCAUUUGUACUUCUCUGCCUGAGUCUACAGUUUUUCUUGACACUGCACUCAAGCCUCAGUCUGAAUCUCUAGUCUCUGUGACAUGGCCCUUCCUCUCACUCUUCCCAUCCUCCCUGGAAGUUGCCACCACAACAGAAGGACACUGGACAUCAGAGACUGGGAAGGAGCACAGAGGACAGGAGGAAGGACCCAGGGUUCCUGGGGUGGCAACAGCCUAGGGCUGGUGGACCCUCACAGCCUGUCCUGUCCAUGUUCGAGGCCAGGGGCCAUGAGUACAAACUGUCUCUGUCUACGGAAACUAGAGUAAGCCUUUCUCCCCGCAGGAGGGCCAACCUGAGGUCUUGCCACUGUCCGACUCCAGACAAGCUUAUGGAAUGGAUACCAUAUGCCCCAGUUCCCCACAUAUGGAUCACAACCCCUGCGUGUGUUCAUUUAAGUCCCUUAUCUUUCAAAGCUUCAGUUUUCUCACCAGUCGAACUAGAAUAAUAGCAACAUCUGUACCCUGCAGGGCUUUUAAGGGGAGCAAAUACCCAGAAAAUGGAACAGUGCAUCAUAAAGUUAAAGGCCACGCAGGUGAACCUUUCAUUCAUUCACUUUCCUGAUCCAGCUCUUCCUUCCAUCUGUUCAAAUGACAGAAUGGAAGACAGAAUUCUUUCUUCUACCAGUGAUGUUUCCUACAUCCCCAAAGUCAAGCACUGCUGCAUUUUAUGAGCACCCAGAGGCAGAAAUGUCCCCUCAAUAUAGCAAAAACCAGGGGCUCACAGAACUUCCUGACAGAACAUGUUCUACAUACUUGAUUCAUCACUAAAGCAGAUGAUGACAUGCAACAUCUCUGCAUCCCCAUUUUAUUGUGGAGGAAACUGAGGCCUGGUGCAGAGUGAAAGAAGGUCCCAAGAGUUCAAGCAAAUCCUCAAGAUGCUGGACAUUUAAGCAGAGUACCAAGAAGCCUCUGCUACCAGAGAAGUAAAGAAAGGAGAAAAGUCCCCAUUUGGGUGGUGGUAGGCAGACAUCAGGAAUGUGAUCCAGGCCUUGGAAUCAUACAGCCCUCAACCUGCCUGACAAAAAGAGCCUGGGAGGGGCUUCUCCAAGCGACCCUGUCACACAGUUCCCGUGCAUCAUUUCCAUUGAAAUGUGAGGGGUUCACACCCCAAGGAGUUCUGGGGCUGAAGGACACUAGAAACUGGCAAUGAAAGGGUCCCUUCCUGAAAAAGAAUAUGACACAUUCUUAGUCCUUGGGUCUUGGAAUGCCAAAUGAGCCAGGCUGUAGGAUCCAGAACAAAAUCAAUUCUUCCUUGGACCCUUAAUUCCAGGGCCCAUGUCUUUGGGCACAUUUGGUCCUCCCCAGCUUCAGCAAUCCCAGGUCUCCCAAAGUGAUGAGUCUGAGGGGGUAUGAGGACUGGUAUGUGGUUAGAGGUGGCGCGACACCUGGAUGUGAGGACCGAUAUUGAGGAUUUUCAUGGGUUGUGGGUCUCUGGUUGUGCUGUGAGGCUGGGUGGAGGAGGAGCUUGGAGGACUUGGGAGUGAGAGAAGAGCAGAGCAGAAAGCUCCAGGUUUCUGGGCCAGCAGAGUGGCUGGCUCUGGGAAUUUGAAGGCAUCAGCCAAGCAAGACAGGAGCGAAGGAUCUGCUAAGAAGCAAUGGCGGGACCCCAAGGAGGAGGAAAGCUUAGGCUGAGUGAGAGGAGGACCCUGCUUCUGAAGAAGGAGACAGCUGAGAAAGGGCAGUGCUGGGGAAAGAAGGGGGGCUGAGGUGCCAGCCGACUGGUUGGAAGGAGAAGGGACAUCAUGAAAGCUUUACUGGUGCCAGGUUCUCAAAAUUAUGAGAGGCUAUAAACCUAUGACCGCCCACAUCUGUAUUUAGUUUGAGACUCAGGAUUCCACUGCAUGGCCAUAAAAAUAGUGGCAUGGUUUAGACCUGAGGAGGUGUGCAGGAGUGCAGUGGGGGAAUUGGCAGAGAGGUUGGAAAAGGGAUUCUCUGCAGGAACAUACAGGAAGAAAACCCAGGAAUCUCCGUGGGGCAACUUUGACGGAGGAUCCCUCCCACCCUUUCACCAAACUGGAGACUUGCUUCACCAAGCAAGAAGACUUUCUCCCCAGACUUUGAAAGGAAACCUCCAGGGAAACUCUCUAAAGGAGCUGCCUUGAAUUCCAGGGAAAGGGAGAAACCCUAAAAUCACUUCACUUCCCAUCAUAUUCCCAUGCCCCACCCUUAACACCAUUCUCACUGGAGGGUAAAGCCUAGAAAAUGAAUUGCUUUCUUUCUUUUUUUUUUUACUUUUCUCUUAAUUUUCUCACCUCAUCCAGGAAGCUUAUCUAAUCUGAAGUUGAUAAACAGGAAGAAACAGAUCUUUAUUUUUUUCAGAAGAUUCUCCUCUUCUUAGGGAUAUGGGGGGACUGACUAGCCAAAAUAACUUUGGAAAAAAACCAACAACUUAUAGAAUUAACACUAUACGCCCUCAAGACUUAAAAUAGAUCUGCCUUAAUUAAGAUGGUGUGGUGCUAGGGGUGUAGCUCAGUGGCAGAGCAUUUGCCUAACAUGCAUGAAAAGAGCCUGGGAGGGGCUUCUCCAAGCGACCCUGUCACACAGUUCCCGUGCAUCAAUUACAUUGUAAUGUGAGGGGUUCAUACCCCAAGGAGUUCUGGGGCUGAAGGACACUAGAAACUGGCAAUGAAAGGGACCCUUCCUGAAAAAGAAUAUGACACAUUCUUAGUCCUUGGGUCUUGGAAUGCCAAAUGAGCCAGGCUGUAGGACCCAGAACAAAAUCAAUUCUUCCUUGGACCCUUAAUUCCAGGGCCCAUGUCUUUGGGCACAUUUGGUCCUCCCCAGCUCCAGCAAUCCCAGCACCACCAAAAAAAAGAGUCUGAGGGGGUAUGAGGACUGGUAUGUGGUUAGAGGUGGCGCGACACCUGGAUGUGAGGACCGAUAUUGAGGAUUUUCAUGGGUUGUGGGUCUCUGGUUGUGCUGUGAGGCUGGGUGGAGGAGGAGCUUGGAGGACUUGGGAGUGAGAGAAGAGCAGAGCAGAAAGCUCCAGGUUUCUGGGCCAGCAGAGUGGCUGGCUCUGGGAAUUUGAAGGCAUCAGCCAAGCAAGACAGGAGCGAAGGAUCCGCUAAGAAGCAGUAGGGACUCUUUUAAUUUUGAGACAGGUUCUCAAUAAGUUGCCAAAGGUGAUCUCAAACUUGAGAUCCUUCUGCCUCAGCUUCCCAAGUAGAUCACAGGCAUGCACCACUGCACCUGGCUGAUGUCAGGGAUUUGUGAGAAUAGUAAGUUACUAUCUGUAAAGUGCUUCAAACCAUAUUUGCCACGUGGUAAACACUAUAAAGUUCUAAGACACAAUCAAUGUUUUCCUUCUCAUUUUAUCAUCUGUAUCAAAUAAAAUUCAGACUUUGUAGUUCCUGUUUUUCCACUGAUGUCCUCUUUCUGCUCCAGGAUCCAUCCAUCCAGGACACCACACUACAGUUGCCAUGUCUCCUUGGUCUCUCCUGGUCUGUGACAAUUUCUGUCUCUUUGUCGCUUUCAUGCUCUUAAAAGUUUGAAGAGUAUCAGUCAGGUGUUUUAUGGAGUAUCCCCAGUUUAGAAUUUAAAUUGUCUGCUAGUUUUCCCUGUUAGACUGUGGCUAGGGGUUUGGAGAGGAUUACCCAGAAGGAAAGUGCCUUUCUCAUCACAACUCCAAAUUGAUUUUUAUGGGAAAGAAUUCUUUGGCUCCCUCUGUUUGGCUUUCCCUCAGGGUGGAGGAAAGGGAAGUCUGCGUGGCUGAAGGACAGCUUCAGCCAAACUAAGCUAAGACCUGCCCAGUCAGGGGACUUGGACCAUGACCUGGGGCAGGAGAGGUGGUUAGAGGCAGACUGAGCAGGAUCAGAAAUUCAGCACGGGCCAAACCCCAGGAGAAGGCCAGGGGGUCCUAGGGGAGCCCCUUGGCCAGGCUAAGGAGGCUCAAGGAAUAGGUUGUGGACAGAGGAGCCACAGGGGAAGAACCAGGAGGUGAGCCCUUCUUGCUGGACUGUCCUGAGGGGCCCCACUGGCAGAAACCCCAACAAAGAUUUUGCCCCCUACAGCUCUGCCAGCCUGAGCCUAGGGUGCAGAAAGGUCAGGAUCCUUCAGGCUUAUGUUGUUCACUGUAUGGGUCAAUGCAGCCAAAGACUGGGGGUGGAGGGAAGUCCCCUGGAACCUGCCCUCCAUGUCUGGAUAGAGAAGCAGCACAGCCCUGGAAGGAAGCCUCUGGGAAAUGCAGGGAGGAUCAGAGCAGAGUGCCCCCAGGAACCUCUGUGCCAGCAGGGGACUGUGUCUCCUUGGGCUUGCCUUCCAGAACUGCCAGUGCUGUGGCUGGCAACCAAGCUGCGUUUGUACUCUUGAUGACUUUUGUCAGGAAUCCCAAACCUGUCCUGGAUACAGGCACAGCUGGCGGCCUGGAACUGGGGGUGUGGGUGAGGUAUGCCAGGGCUUUAUUCACCUACCAGGGUUCAUCUGCCCCUCCACUGUUUGGGCUCUGAGCUCUUCUGGUUCUUGCCCUAGUCUCCUCUUCUUCCCCUUUUCCUCAGGCCAGAAAGCCUUGGGUGCUAUCAAGACCUUUUGGUUCCAGACAAUUCUCCAGGGUCUCUGAUUUGCCCUAGGAACCCAUGGAUGGAAAAGGGAGAUGGGGGAAGGACAGACUAGCAGACAACUCUAGGCUUAUUCUCCAUACCAGGUCUCAGCUUUCUCAUCUGUUAAAUGAGGGAUCAGAAUCAGUUACUUUUAUUGCAUUAUUAUUAUUAUUAUUAUUAUUAUUAUUAUUAUUAUUAUUCUGAGAUGGAACCCAGGGCCUGGUGCAUGCUAAGCACAUGCUCUACCACUGAACCACAUCCCCAACUCUUGCUCUUUUGAAAUUUCAUAUUAAUUGCAUUAAUGAUUAAUCUGUGGUCUAUAGAUUACAUAUAAGCUAUAAUCCAAAUAAUCUAUUAAAGUAAUAAAAGUCCAAGAUAAAAAUUGCUCAUGAUCCCAUUCUGAAAUGACAUGAAUAUUUGUGUUGGUUUCUGAUGAUUUCUAGUUCUUGUCCAGGUACAUAUUCAAUUUUAAUGUAUUUCAUAAAUAGGAAUUUAUAUUUAACAUUUCAGUUAACAUUACACAGAACACUGUUUUUUCUUUUGUUUUUCCUACCUCAACCUUCUUUUAUUCCCCACUCUCCUCCUGCUGCAAAGUUAGUUUGCACUCAUAAAAUAUAAUGUACUGAUAUAGUACCCAUAUCACACAUAGAAUUCACAUUUGAGAGGAGAGGGGUCGUGGCCUAUUUUACAAAAUUGAGACCAUGCUACAUACAUUUUUCUGCAAACUGUUUUCCUCAUUUAGCCAUAUGUUGUAGAAAUCCAUUCAGGCCAAGAUAGAGUGCUAACUGAUGCCCUUUGAUAAGUGCAUAAUUCCAUAAGAUGAAGCUAUUGCAAUUGAUUCAAUCAUUCUGUGAUUGAUGGGGACUUGGGUUUUUUCUAGCUGUUUCUUCUUCCCAACUAAAAACAAUGCUGCCAUAAACAUUUUGAAUAAUAAUACCUCUAGGAACAGUUACUUGCAUUUCUACAAGUAUGAAAUACCAUGGGUGGGAUUGCUGGAUAAGACUGCAUAAGACUUAACAGUGUCCUUUUCCCCCAAAACAAGAAUAAAAAUUCACAUCUACACAAGUAGUGCAUGAAAGCCCGUCUCCCCACAUCCUCACCAGCACUGGUAGUUAGCAGUCAUUUUAAUGAUUGCCAGCCUGCUUGAUGAGCAAUGGCAUCUCAGUGCUAUUUUAAUUUGCAUUUUCCUGUUUACUAGCAACCUGGAGCAUCUUUCCUUGUAUUUAUUGGCUUUCCAGAUUCCUCUUCUAUCCACAGCUAUUCACACCAUUUGCUUAUUUUUUUUUUCUUCUGGGUUUGUCUUUGCAUUAUGAAUGUGUUGGAGCUCAGUGUAGGAAUGUUUAACUUGCCUUUUGUGGGAUGUAAUGCAAAUAUAUUUUCCCAGUCUAUUAUUUUUCGUUCAACUUAGUAGGGAAACUUUUUCCAUACAUGAUGUUCUCAUUUUAUUUAGUCAGAUAUGUGUCUUUUUCUUUGAUGUAUGUAUGUGUGUGUGUGUGUGUGUGUGUUUGUGGUACUGAGAAUGAAACCCAGGGCCUCACAUAUGCUAGGCCAGUGCUCUACCACAAAGCAACAUCCCCAGUUCUUUUUAUUUUAUUUUGAGGCAGGGUCUUGCAAUGUUGCUGAAGCUGGCUUCAAACUUGCCAUCUUCCUAAGUAGGUGGGAUUAUAGGCAUGUACCACUGUGCUGGGCUAGAUAUGUGUAUCAUUCUUAAUGACUUUUCAAAUUCCUGUUUUGUUCUUAAAAUCUCCCCAACAUGUACACUAUAUUCCUAAAUUUCCUUUUGAAUUUUUCCUUGCUUUAUUUUUUUCUCAUUUAAACAAAAUCUCUGUGGAAUUUAUUUUGUUGAAUUAAAAUAUGCUCCAAUUUUACUUUUUUUCCAGGAGGAUAGCCAAAUUCAACGUUUCCAAUCUCCAAGCCUAGGGGAUCCUAGGAGAUAGCUAGGCAGCUACUAAUAUUGGGGUUGAGGGUGGGGUGUCUGGGAACUGAUGUCAGACUCCCUGUCCCCCAACUACGGAGCUAUUCUACAUUUGCUGUUUUACAAAAUGGGCUUCCAAUAAAGAUCUGAUUUGGACAAGGUGUUCUUAAGCCUUAAGGAAGUCUGAAAACCCCUUUCAGAUGAUCUUUGGGGAUCCUCCCAGGCUUGACACUCUCUGAUUCCAUAAUACUAGGAUAUCGACCAUUUAGUACAGAAGAGAAGGUGACAGGUCAAUGGAACUUUAUCCAGCAGUGACUUCAGCAUUAACUCCUGAGUUGGCUCCAGGUGGAUAUCAUACAGCACUUCAGAAACAGAUGAGACCUUGAAAAAUCAUCUAGUCUAGUGCCUCUCAAUCUUGGCUGCCUUUAGAAUCAUCUGGGAGUUUAUAAAAAAUUCUGGUGCCCUGGGCCCCUGCCAGACUACAUGAUUCAGAAUCUCUGAAAAUUAUUGGAAAAUUAUUUUUAAAAUCUCCUGGUGAGUCUUAUGCAGCUAGGGUUGAGAACGACUUCUAUAGUUCAACCCUCUGAAUUCAAUAGUAAAUAUAUUGAGAACCAGAAAAAGUGAAUUCAUAUCAUACAGCUGGCCAGCUAUAGAGAUGGUACUAGAACUAGGAUUUCCAUCUCCUGAGUUGGCCUUCCCAUCUACAUCAAACAAAUCCCCCAUCAACACCUUGGACUUUCCAACAGACAACACAAAGGGCUCUGAGCGCUAUGUACAUUUGCAUAUGAAUCAGUAUAUUCUGGGUGAAUAGGCAUAAAGGACUUAGUGGGGAACAGGGUGGUAAAGAACUAACUAUGAUAAAAGAUUGAGCAAGGCACAUGGAAAAUCCAGGGGUAGGAGCCCACUGCAGGGAUGGAGGUGUGGAAUAAGGCAGAGUGAGUUGACCAGGUAGGUCAGGGAGGCUCUGUGCAGGAGGUGGCAUUUGAAUAGGGCCUGUGGGUGACUGAAAAAGACUUGGAUGGACAGAGAGUCAAUGCCAACAUUUCUUCCAAACAGCAUUUGGCUGCCUUGGUAUUACACAGAGGCUCAAAAGCCAGGGAGGGGGAGCAGCAAGGAUUCCAUGCAGGAAUGCCUUAGUGUAGGGGGAUCUAAGGUCCAGCCUGUCUCAGCCCUGUUCUGACCUUCUCCCUCCGCUCUGCCCACAGGAAUGAAACCGUGCUGCAUCAAUUCUGCUGCCCAGCCGCUGACGCCGAGCAGAAGCCCUCCUGCUCUGAC